rnacentral:lncRNA from 1 species
GCUUGCGGCACUACGUUCACCGCGGGAAAAUCAUCUCGUGCGUUUAGCCAUAGGAGUAGCAGGGGUGGUCCCGCCUUAGGACAAGGUUGUGCGGUACAUCUAAUAUUAUUAUAUAAAAUGCCAGCAAUUUUACUAGAUUCUUUUUGAAACCUCCACAUGAAAACACCUAUAAUUCUAGGUGGACACUCUAGAAAAAGAAAGAAAUUCUAAAAAUUCUUCAAAAAAGCAAAAUAUCUGCCCAUCUAUUCAGUAAACUUAAAUCACCAUAGCCAUUGGAUCUAUUAUGUUUUCUAAAAUAUUACCCACCUACCAUUAUAAAAAUAGCUUAAAAUAACCGCUAAAUAUAUAUCUAAAUUACACACAUCUACCAUUACAUAAAAUAAUCUAAAGUAACCCCCUAAUCUUCAUCUAAAUUACCCACUUAUGCUAUUAUUAUAAAUAAUUUAAAAUAACUCCCUAAUUUUUUUCCAAAUUGCCCACCACUAAAAUUAUAAAAAAUAACUUAAAAUUAAACCCUUCAAUUUACAUCUUUGUCUAUUAAAAUAUACCCCAAGGUACACCAAUAUGUUAUUUUAAUUGUCUAUUCUUACACUAUUGGUAUAGAAAAUAAUAAUUAAGGUAUACACGCAUGAUGUGUGUC